ensembl:lncRNA novel transcript
AUAUCUCAGUCUCUAGUCAAGCGUGGUUUAUGGUGCCAAAUAAGUGCCAGGUGAACUCACUACAUCUGACAAAAUCUCAAGGAACCAAGUUUACCAGAUAAUAUUUAUGAUUAUGUGAAAAAGACUGAGGAAAUCACUCAAGUGAUCCAUCAUACAGCACCUCCAGUUCCAAAGAAUACUGACUUACUUCAGCUGUACUGGUCUGGAGCUGCACAUUCUUUUCAGAGAAGUCUUGUUCCAUUAAGUUCAGGUGACUCUUCUCCUGUAACAGAGCCUCCUUCUUAGAAACUAUGGCCUCCCGUUUCUUUAAGUCUGCUUCCAGCUCCUCUAAUUCUUGGCAUUGGUUCAGAACUUUCUCUACUUCUUCAUCUAACUAUUUCUUUUGCUUAUCCAAUUUCUACAUUAAAAUUAAAAAAAAAAUUACUUGUU